AAGUGUAGAUAUUAUCGCAUUAUUAUUAUUAUUAUUAUUAUUAUUAUUAUUAUUAUUAUUAUUAUUCAAUUGAUUUUGGAAUGAUUAGUAGUAGUGGGUGUCGCUCUCACGCCCAUGCUGGGUAACCACCAACAAAUCUCCUCCGUCUAAUUCGAUCCUACUUUUAUUAAUUAAAGCCUAAAUUACACAAAACACCCUAUAAAUAUUUUUUUUAAUUUUUUCUUUUUCAUCGACUGUCCCUAUAACAAGUGACAAAGGGUUUAGUGAUUGAUACUCGAGUUUCAAGAUCGAAUCCUAAUUGAUUCACAUUUUUAGCUAAGUUUAUUUCUAAAUAAAAUAAACGAAGCGGAUAACUUCCUAUCUAUCUCUUAAAAAAAAAAUUCCGCUUUGAUUUUUAAAAAAUCUAUAUUUUAUCUCUCAAAAUUUGAAGUUGUUGUAUUUAUUCCCUUCAGUAGGGUUUUCGUCGCUAAUCCGUCUAUUUCUUAUAAUUUAUAAUAAAAAUAAUUUUGAAACUAAUAUAAAUAUGCUAAAAAUUAAUUUUCACCUUCUCC
rnacentral:lncRNA from 1 species